UAGGGAAUCUUCGGCAAUGGGGGGAACCCUGACCGAGCAACGCCGCGUGAGUGAAGAAGGUUUUCGGAUCGUAAAGCUCUGUUGUUAAGGAAGAACGAGUGUGAGAAUGGAAAGUUCAUGCUGUGACGGUACUUAACCAGAAAGGGACGGCUAACUACGUGCCAGCAGCCGCGGUAAUACGUAGGUGGCAAGCGUUGUCCGGAUUUAUUGGGCGUAAAGGGUACGCAGGCGGUUUAAUAAGUCGAAUGUUAAAGAUCGGGGCUCAACCCCGUAAAGCAUUGGAAACUGAUAAACUUGAGUAGUGGAGAGGAAAGUGGAAUUCCUAGUGUAGUGGUGAAAUACGUAGAUAUUAGGAGGAAUACCAGUAGCGAAGGCGACUUUCUGGACACAAACUGACGCUGAGGUACGAAAGCGUGGGGAGCAAACAGG
rnacentral:rRNA from 1 species